AGCAUGAGACGGAAAAGGAUAAAUAAGCAGAACGCUUAUAUUAUAUACAAUAGACAUGCAUCAAUUAAUACCAAAAUAAGACCAUUGUCCCGGUCGAAAUACAUAUAUAAGCUUUUGAGAAAAACCUCGAAUAAUUCCCCCCAAAAAACCCUCCAGUAAGAUCUAUAAGUCUAUACAAAAAUAAAAACAACCACAACCUCAUUCGUUUGCCAAAAUAAUUAAGGAUCUGCAAGAAAUAGUAAAAAGGUUGGGAAGUCAAGGCACGUCACAUUCGCAACUUUGCCUCGACAGUGGCAGUGUUUGCUCUCCUGUGAAAGACUCCAUGCAAAUUUCACCUGAGACCUGCAAGACAUUAGCAAAAGCCUAAAAACUCAAGUACGAUAAAAUUUGGGUAACCUUUUUUUUAGGGAGUAAAAUCGUGUAAACUUGCUGCAAGACUGAAAUAAUAUUUAAGUGAAACCUCAUAAUCAGCAUGUCUAGGAUUAUAAGCCUACAAAACAUUACCAAAAAUGAGACAAAUGUUUUCUGCUUGACAAAACUAACCCAUCGGUCAACAUCAUCUCGCUUCCAAACCUUCUGUCAACAAUGACUCAAAUCUUGAUAUAAUGGCAAUUGUUGUACACUAAAUCAUGAGAGGCCUACGCAAUUUUCUAUGUACUGGUAGUUGAGAUGAGCAAUUCUUACACCAGUUCCUCACACCAGCCACGAUCAGGGGGCAACCGCAACGGCCACCAUGCACCCACCAUACUGGUCGCGAACCUAAAAUUAAGAAAUUAUCACGGGGACGUACGACUGCAACGGCCACCACAUAUCCACCAUACUGGGCGUGAGCCUGAAAUUAGGAAAGUGGAGACACCAAGAAUUAGAUUUCACUCAGUUCAUCACAGGGUAUGAUAUAUUGUUCUUUGGACAACAUCAACCCGACUAACAACAGGCCUAGGAAGAACUAUACAAAGCAAACAGACAAAAUAUAAAAUGAGGCAAGCACAUUGAACCAUAUAAACAAUUAGUAAGAAGUGCAAAAAGAUAAACACACCAGAAGGAGUCGAUCCACGCGAGGAACCAGACAACCAACCAGUAAUGAAAUUCGGACGAUACAGAACUUCCACAUCAGAUGCAACUCUAACAGCAACAAGACAAGGAUCAAUCAAUUCUUCUAGUGCAGGCCGAACAUUCCUUCCAACUGCAAGAAUCAAUAAAUUGGCUAGAAAGAUUAGAAAAAACUAAAGCUAAAGAAGGUUAAAAAAGAAUCCAAACAAAUAUCAAGAAUAAUACUAAACAUAACCGCAUGCCAAACACCCACCAAACGGUGGAUCUACAUAACGUUUCCCACUGCGAAUAUCUUGGCAUUCCUGGGUGUCGCCAUCGCGCCUCAUC
rnacentral:lncRNA from 1 species